rnacentral:rRNA from 1 species
CAAUGCGAAGCGAAGCAGUGAUGUGAAGCAAAUCGCACCAAAGCCAGUCCCAGUUCGGAUAAGAGGCUGAAACUCGCCUCUUUGAGGUCGGAAUCGCUAGUAAUCGCAGAUCAGCAUGUUGCGGUGAAUACGUUCCCGGGUCUUGUACACACCGCCCGUCAAACCAUGAGAGUCACCAACACCCGAAGUCCGCCUUGGCGGCCUAAGGUGGGGGAGAUGAUUGGGGUUAAGUCGUAACAAGGUAUC